AUCGAGCUGCGAAAAGAAUACGCUCUACGACAUCGCUGCUGCAGCGGUUUGUAAUGCUGAGGCUGCUCUUCCUAACGCUGGACAAUACGCUUUAUCUUUCGGGCAAGAAGACAGCUCCACAAGCGUCCCCAAACUGCUCAAAACAACCCUGCGAUGAAACUUUUGGCCUGCCUUCUAUUUCUCAUUUCCUGCGUCCAUUACGUUUGCGCCCUGAAACAUGUUAUCUUUAAGCACUGCCUGUCACCAAGCACAGUUCGUGGAUGCAGAGACCACGCACAAUCUUGGGGUAUUGAUUUCGUAACCCGAGUUUGCAAACUAUUCAAUAUUGAUACUUGCAAUUCAACAACCCCAACCAAGUUUGUUUCGGAAAAAUUGUGUCAACACAUGUGCCUGCCACCACCAAAGCGAAAACUCUUGUGCAGCCUCAUGCCGAAACCAGGCCCUUGCUCUCCGCGCAAUCUCACGUGGCACUUCGAUGCCCAAACCGGCUUCUGUAAACAUUUUACAGGCAUGAAAUGUGGAACCAAUGCUAACAGCUUUUCCUCCUGUCAUACGUGUACGAAGAGAUGCAGCAAUCGCAAGGCGGACGCAGUAUGUGUCCUGCCUUAGAUACUCAAAACCACAUUGAAGUCUAAAAAUAAACUACACGUAGAAAAUGUACCGGCACGGCCCCCCACUUGCAGGACCAGACUAAACAAAACUGCAAGAUCGAACGCCCUUGGAGCCUGCUAAAUAACACCAGAAUAAAGGAUUUUAAUGAAAGGAAUAAAGGAAUAAAGGACCUGCCCAGUUUCGCCUCCGUA